rnacentral:tRNA from 2 species
GGGGGAUUGGCGCAAUGGUAGCGCGUGGCUCUCCUAUUCUGUGUUCUUCAGUGUAAAGCCAAGGUUGUGGGUUCGAGUCCCAUGUUCCUCG